AUUGAACGCUGGCGGCAGGCCUAACACAUGCAAGUCGAGCGGAGCGGCGGACGGGUGAGUAAGGCUUAUGACUAUGACUGUGAGUGGUGGAGAAGGAUAGCAACCGGACGCUAAUACCGCUACCUCUUAGAUGAGCCUAGGUCGGAUUAGGUAGUUGGUGGGGUAAGGGCCUACCAAGGCGACGAUCCGUAACUGUUCUGAGAGGAUGAUCAGUCACACUGGAACUGAGACACGGUCCAGACUCCUACGGGAGGCAGCAGUGGGGAAUAUUGGACAAUGGGCGCAAGCCUGAUCCAGCCAUGCCGCGUGUGUGAAGAAGGUCUUCGGAUUGUAAAGCACUUUAAUUUGGGAGGCGUUACCAACAGAAGAAGCACCGGCUAACUCCGUGCCAGCAGCCGCGGUAAUUC
rnacentral:rRNA from 1 species